AGAGUUUGAUCAUGGCUCAGGAUGAACGCUGGCGGCGUGCCUAACACAUGCAAGUCGAACGAAGCACAUUGGAUUGAUUCUUCGGAAGAAAGAGAAUGUGACUGAGUGGCGGACGGGUGAGUAACGCGUGGGUAACCUGCCUCAUACAGGGGGAUAACAGUUAGAAAUGACUGCUAAUACCGCAUAAGACCACGGAGUCGCAUGACUCAGUGGGAAAAACUCCGGUGGUAUGAGAUGGACCCGCGUCUGAUUAGGUAGUUGGUGGGGUAACGGCCUACCAAGCCGACGAUCAGUAGCCGACCUGAGAGGGUGACCGGCCACAUUGGGACUGAGACACGGCCCAAACUCCUACGGGAGGCAGCAGUGGGGAAUAUUGCACAAUGGGGGAAACCCUGAUGCAGCGACGCCGCGUGAGCGAAGAAGUAUUUCGGUAUGUAAAGCUCUAUCAGCAGGGAAGAAAAUGACGGUACCUGACUAAGAAGCACCGGCUAAAUACGUGCCAGCAGCCGCGGUAAUACGUAUGGUGCAAGCGUUAUCCGGAUUUACUGGGUGUAAAGGGAGCGUAGACGGCUGUGUAAGUCUGAAGUGAAAGCCCGUGGCUCAACCCCGGGACUGCUUUGGAAACUAUGCAGCUAGAGUGUCGGAGAGGUAAGUGGAAUUCCCAGUGUAGCGGUGAAAUGCGUAGAUAUUGGGAGGAACACCAGUGGCGAAGGCGGCUUACUGGACGAUGACUGACGUUGAGGCUCGAAAGCGUGGGGAGCAAACAGGAUUAGAUACCCUGGUAGUCC
rnacentral:rRNA from 1 species